ensembl:snRNA LOC120100398 U2 spliceosomal RNA
AUCGCUUCUCGGCCUUUUGGCUAAGAUCAAGUGUAGAAUCUGAUGGGAAAUGACAAAGGGAAUUAAAAAAGGAAGUGAGACAGAUGAGGGUAGAGAGUCUAACUAAAGCUAACAUGUGAAUAUAUUUAUAUUUAUUUUAUAUAUCACUU